UCCAUUCGACCACAGGGCCUUGCAGUCAGUGCGGGGAACGCUGGCCCCCUCCCAUGGUCACAUUGGUGGCUCACAGUCCCACUUUCAACAAGGCCCCCCACAUGAGCACACACCCCGUUUCUGGGGGGGCAGGGCUGUCCUCACCCCCUAGAGCUGCUCCUGGCCCUCUUACCCACAGGUAAGCUCCCCUCUCGCCCAGACCACAGCGACAGCUACUCGAGAGGAAGGACCGUGGCCUUCACUUCUUCACUUCACUUUUGUCUCGGGCCUCAACUUCCUCAUUUGUAAAAUGGGAUAACCAUGAAAGUACUUGCACAAACUCAGAAACUGUCAUCAGCACCGCCAUCGGGUUCCUCUGAAUUUGGGGGUGACCUGAACUUUGGUGGGUGAGCCCCUUCCUCAGAGAAAUGGGCUUCUCCAGCACCCUCCUUGCCUAACUCACCCCCAACGCUUCUCCUCUGCAGAGAGCCUUGGUGUGUGUGAGCGUUGGCGUGAGACCUACGGCAGGGGUGCCAAGAGCAGGUGCUCAUCCAAGGGCAGAUCACCAGGAGAACUUCCAAGGAAGGGUCCCGAGACCCAGGAUGUCACAGCUAGCAGGGACCUCGGGGAUCGCCACUUUGCCAAGCUUUUGUUGCCCAGACAGAAAACCUUCAGCUCAGAGAGGUGGAGACACUGGCCCAGGGACCCACAGCAAGCUGAGAAAACAAGCAGAGGAGGUUCAGCGAGGUGAGGCCGGUUGCCCAAGGUCACACAGCCAGUGGCGGCACAGGGGUCCAAGCCAGGCUGUGCGACCAACGCUCUCAUCGCUGAGCCCUCCGGCCCGGGCCUGCCCCCACGUCACCCUUCCCCGAGCUCCGUGGGCCUUGGGGGCCUGAAGGCCGCGUGGGGCCGCGGUGACAGGUGGCAGGGCCGGGGCCCAGCCCGCGGGGCGGGAGGGGUUAACGGGCUCCGCCGCCGCAUUGGGCCGGCCUCCGGGGGAACCAGCCAAUGGGCGCGCGCCGCGAUGAGGUAAUGCCGGGACCGCGAGGAGUGGGCGGGGCUGGCGGGGACCUCGCCUAGCUCGCCUGCCUUCUCUUCCCACAAACCCCUCACCUUUGACCCUUAAGUCCCCU